GAGCCACCGCGCCCGGCCGGGAGUGCACUUUGUACAAACACCUGGAGAAACUGUUUGGCAGUGUGUUCUAAAGCUGAACCUACCCAAACCCUAAGACCUGGCAACUUCCAGCAAGCCUUCCAUGCUCUGGUUACCAUCUCUCCCAUCCCUCCUCCGCCAGAGGAAGAGGCUCAGCAAAUCCCACAGCACUCUUGCAGAUCUUCUGGUCAACCCGCUUCUUUCAUCGAAGGCAGCUCCAGCAGCUGACUUGCCAGACCCAACCUCUUAAGAAGACGCAGAUAAGCCCACAUGACCAAAGAGGGGUCUGCUUCUCUUGCAAGAAACAAAGUCACCUUUAAAAAGUUUGCAAACAACUUAAAUGGCAACAGGAGAGAAAAACCACCCAAGAGAAACAGCUGCUCUGGGGAGCCUAAGGGGGCGUUUCUAUUUCUCCUUCCUCUCUCAUUAGGAGGAGUGGAUCCACUGCUGAGUGAAGAGACUCCUGAUCUCACUGACACCAGAGCUGUCUUCUCUGUUCUCAACCCCAUCAUAUAUAACUGUCCCCUUCCUCAGAGGAACGAAACCACUGAAAUGGUGGGAGUGCCUAACCCACCCAUGACUGUAAGGCCCAAGUUUCAGAAUUUCUAAUAGGGACUGCAUGAGACUUAUUUUUGCACUGCUGCAAAGAAAUACCUGAGGCCGGGCAUGGAGGCUCA
rnacentral:lncRNA from 1 species